AGCGCUGUUCGGAUCUUGGGCGUAAGGGUGCGUAGGUGGCGCCAUAAGUCAGGUGUGAAAUCUCGGGGCUCAACCCCGAAACUGCACUUGAUACUGUGGUGCUCGAGUACUGGAGAGGAGAUUGGAAUUUACGGUGUAGCAGUGAAAUGCGUAGAUAUCGUAAGGAAGACCAGUGGCGAAGGCGAAUCUCUGGACAGUUACUGACACUGAGGCACGAAGGCCAGGGGAGCAAACGGGAUUAGAUACCCCGGUAGUCCUGGCAGUAAACGGUGCGCGUUUGGUGUGGGAGGAUUCGACCCCUUCUGUGCCGGAGCUAACGCGUUAAACGCGCCGCCUGGGGAGUACGGUCGCAAGAUUAAAACUCAAAGAAAUUGACGGGGGCCCGCACAAGCGGUGGAGUAUGUGGCUUAAUUCGAUGCAACGCGAAGAACCUUACCUAGCCUUGACAU
rnacentral:rRNA from 1 species